GACAGAGGGGGCAAGCGUUGCUCGGAAUCACUGGGCGUAAAGGGCGCGUAGGCGGGAUGGCAAGUCGGUCGUGAAAUCUCUCGGCUCAACCGAGAAACGUCGGCCGAUACUGCCGUUCUUGAGGGAUGCAGAGGAGACUGGAAUUCCCGGUGUAGCGGUGAAAUGUGUAGAGAUGUGGAGGAACACCGAUGGCGAAGGCAGCCCCCUGGGUCAAGAUUGACGCUCAUGCACGAAAGCGUGGGGAGCAAACAGG
rnacentral:rRNA from 1 species